UACGUAGGGGGCAAGCGUUAUCCGGAUUUACUGGGUGUAAAGGGAGCGUAGACGGUGAUGUAAGUCAGAUGUGAAAGCCCGGGGCUCAACUCCGGGACUGCAUUUGAAACUAUGUUGCUGGAGUGCAGGAGAGGUAAGUGGAAUUCCUAGUGUAGCGGUGAAAUGCGUAGAUAUUAGGAGGAACACCAGUGGCGAAGGCGGCUUACUGGACUGUAACUGACGUUGAGGCUCGAAAGCGUGGGGAGCGAACAGG
rnacentral:rRNA from 1 species